UACGGAGGGGGCUAGCGUUGUUCGGAAUUACUGGGCGUAAAGCGCACGUAGGCGGAUAUUUAAGUGAGGGGUGAAAUCCCAGGGCUCAACCCUGGAACUGCCUCUCAUACUGGGUAUCUCGAGUUCGAGAGAGGUGAGUGGAAUUGCGAGUGUAGAGGUGAAAUUCGUAGAUAUUCGCAGGAACACCAGUGGCGAAGGCGGCUCACUGGCUCGAUACUGACGCUGAGGUGCGAAAGCGUGGGGAGCAAACAGG
rnacentral:rRNA from 1 species